rnacentral:sRNA from 1 species
AUCCACACGUUGAGCCUUAAGGUCGUGACCCCAUGAUAUUGAGUUGAAGAGACUUUACUUUGACACGUCUAUAUUCUCGAUAUUGCUGUGGCUUUUCUCCUGCAUGAGAACACCUGUUGUAACCCCAACACAUUUUGCCCACUGAUUGAGUGGGGCCACAACGCCCCGCCUCCAGCUGGUGAGUGGGCACCAACAGACGAGACUCAUAUCCACCUCCCCAGAACUAAAGAUUGUCAGUUAGCCAAACAUUUCCAGAUGUUGCGGUCAGGAAAAUGAACACAAGAGGACUCCAAGAGGACCAACCAACCACUGCCAGGAACCUUGAACUCGGUUGAUCAUUAUUAAUCGAAUUUUGACAGACGCCCGAACAAGUUUUCACCGACUCCCACGUUUUCAUUUUCCAUUUUACGCUGUCCCCAGAUGCCGGUUUCUCAUCCUUUUCAAUUGCCAGCCGAUGAUGCAAGCGGCGAUGGCAAAGAAGUUACAUUUUAUUUUAUUUACUCCACAUUCUGCACCCGAACUGAUUACAACCGU